rnacentral:lncRNA from 1 species
GCUCAAUAAAAUCCUAAUCAAAUCAAAAAUUGACUAAGUCCAACUCCUGAUCAAAUCAGGGACCAAACCAUCUCGACGAUUAGGUCAACUCUUAACCUAAUCGGGUCAAACCCAACUGAAUCCAAUUCAAUUGGACUUGAUCCAAAAAUAAUUACUCAAUCAAAUUGAGUUAAUUAGCGAUCAAAUCACUAAUAAAAUCUCUCAUAAUUAUUGAGUCCAAAUCCGAUGGGCAAUCGGGUAUCAAAGUCCAUCAAUAUGAAACCUUGAUCGAAGAGUUCAAAUUUCAAAUUCAAAAUUUCAAAUUUAAAAUUUUGACCCCGGUAUCCAAAAUGUGUGGAACUCAUGAUUAGAGAAUCUUAAUUCUCAAUCAAAGAGUUCCAGACACAUAAGACUCAUAAUCAGCCAUCAGAUCAGAAAGGAACCUCUAAUGUGUAUGACCCCGCAG